UUUCUUGGAAUUAAUAUGUGCAAUCUUCUUCAAAUGUUUUGUGCUUGUUGCUAACUUAGUUAUUAGAGAAUUAGCAAAUUUUGAGUCAAAAUCAAUAAUUCAAGCAUUAAUUAUUAAAUUUUCAAUUUUCUAUAGGAUUUAUUAAGAAUUUAUAUAAAAUUUAGGAUUUAAUUAAGAAUUAAUUAAGUUUAAUUUAAGGUCUAAAAUUUGAUUAAGAUUUUAUUUGGAUUUGAUUUAAGAUUUGAUCAAGGAUUAUAAUUUAUGAUUUAAUUGGAAUUUAUUUAGGAUUUGAUUAAGCUUGAUUAGGAUUUAAUUAGGAUUUAGUAUUUGAUUAUGAUUUGAUUAAAAUAAUUUAGGAUUUAAUCAAAAUUUGAUUAAGAUUUAAUUAUAAUUUUUUAGUAUUUGGUUUACGAUUUGAUUAGGAUUUAGAAUUUGAAUAGGAUUUGAUUAGGAUUUAAUUAGUAUUUGGUUAGAAUUUUAUUAGAAUUUAGUAAGAUUGAUUUAAGAUUUGAAUAGGAUCGGUUUACAAUUUUAUUAGGAUUUUUUAAGGAUUACAUUAGGAUUUGAUUAGAAUUCAAUUCAAUAUCUAUUUUUGAUAUAUAUUUUUGAUU
rnacentral:lncRNA from 1 species